rnacentral:rRNA from 1 species
AAUAGCACCAUAUCACCCUGCAGCUCUCGGCUAGUUUCCCACUGAAUCUAAGCAGGGUUGAGCCUGGCCAGUACCUGGAUGGGAGACCUGCGGAAAACUAAGGUUGCUGCUGGAA